rnacentral:rRNA from 1 species
GGUAGUCCACGCCGUAAACGAUGUCGACUUGGAGGUUGUGCCCUUGAGGCGUGGCUUCCGGAGCUAACGCGUUAAGUCGACCGCCUGGGGAGUACGGCCGCAAGGUUAAAACUCAAAUGAAUUGACGGGGGCCCGCACAAGCGGUGGAGCAUGUGGUUUAAUUCGAUGCAACGCGAAGAACCUUACCUACUCUUGACAUCCGGAGAACUUAGCAGAGAUGCUUUGGUGCCUUCGGGAACUCUGAGACAGGUGCUGCAUGGCUGUCGUCAGCUCGUGUUGUGAAAUGUUGGGUUAAGUCCCGCAACGAGCGCAACCCUUAUCCUUUGUUGCCAGCGGUUAGGCCGGGAACUCAAAGGAGACUGCCAGUGAUAAACUGGAGGAAGGUGGGGAUGACGUCAAGUCAUCAUGGCCCUUACGAGUAGGGCUACACACGUGCUACAAUGGCGCAUACAAAGAGAAGCGACCUCGCGAGAGCAAGCGGACCUCAUAAAGUGCGUCGUAGUCCGGAUUGGAGUCUGCAACUCGACUCCAUGGAGUCGGAAUCGCUAGUAAUCGUAGAUCAGAAUGCUACGGUGAAUACGUUCCCGGGCCUUGUACACACCGCCCGUCACACCAUGGGAGUGGGUUGCAAAAGAAGUAGGUAGCUUAACCUUCGGGAGGGCGCUUACCACUUUGUGAUUCAUGACUGGGGUGAAGUCGUAACAAGGUAACCGUAGGGGAACCCUGC